UGUUUUGGAUAUGGCAAAUCUACAGAGGUAGCUUUGUUGGUCCACCAAACCCUAUCAGGCUAUAAUUGAACCCCACAAGCAUUAAUAUAGAUUGGCCUUAUGAAUUAUGAUGCCUCACUUUCUUCUUUUAGCUCUUAUCCCUGCCCAUACCAAUACAUUCAUAAUUAUAUGUCUAUUUAAAGUUCCGAUGCUGACUCACCUGUUUGACUAUUCUCAUUAUCAAUUGCAAUAACUUCCUCUUCAGAUGAGUUAAAUAUGUGUUUGUGUGUAAUUGAUGCAGGUCAUUUGGGGCUAAGGAUGAGAUAUUCUGCUUGUUCCAAGGCUCACUUGACAACCUAGGAAGCCUUAAACAACAAUAUGGGCUUGCAAAGAAUGCAAACGAGGUUCUCUUGGUCAUUGAGGCUUACAAGACUCUCCGUGACAGAGCUCCUUACCCAGCCAACCACGUCGUGUCACACCUAAGUGGCGAUUUUGCCUUUGUGGUCUUUGAUAAAUCAACCUCCACUCUGUUUGUAGCCUCUGUAAGCUCUUCUUAACACCCUUUUUUACGGUGAGGUUUGAUUGAAUUUGGCGAUUAAAAAAUUGGUUUAAAUUUGCUGCAGGACCAAGAAGGUAAGGUACCAUUGUACUGGGGGAUAACAGCUGAUGGGUAUGUGGCAUUUGCUGAUGAUAUUGAGUUGCUAAAAGGUGCUUGUGGC
rnacentral:lncRNA from 1 species